CACACAUAGAACCCAUACUAGUUUCUCCUUUCAAAUCAAAUUCUUGGAAAGGAGAAAUCAAAGGGAAAUUAAUAAGGGUUUAAUUAUUUGGUGGAUUUCAAGGAAUCACCAUCAUCUUCAUCUUUUCUUUAAGAAUAUCAAAUUUUGGUUUUGGAUAGACGUGGAGACUAGACUGCUCAUUUUCUCGGACUACUCAUACUUUUACCUCUUUGACCGCUAAGAUUUUGUUCCUGACUGUCAUGGUUGUGGUCCGCAUCCCACUUUAGACGGGAAAUCCUGUGCGAGGCAUAUUAGUCAUAUUGUCGGACUUAGGUCUGGACUGUCAUUAUAUAUUGUCGGAUUUUGCUCCCGGCUGUCUUGUCUUAAAUAACUACAUGUCAUUGUGUAUUCUCAAUGACGACUAAACUUUGGUCAAACACACUGUAAACUCACCAACUAUUUCGAUAGUUGAUCCUCUCAAAUUUCAUGCUUUUCAGGUAACCAACAGUAAGUCUUGGAUCAUCUUGGCAUUAUAGGGCCAUUCAUUUGACUUUGGACGUAUAAUUAGCGUCA